CCUACGGGAGGCAGCAGUGGGGAAUCUUGCGCAAUGGGCGAAAGCCUGACGCAGCCAUGCCGCGUGAAUGAUGAAGGUCUUAGGAUUGUAAAAUUCUUUCACCGGGGACGAUAAUGACGGUACCCGGAGAAGAAGCCCCGGCUAACUUCGUGCCAGCAGCCGCGGUAAUACGAAGGGGGCUAGCGUUGCUCGGAAUUACUGGGCGUAAAGGGAGCGUAGGCGGAUAGUUUAGUCAGAGGUGAAAGCCCAGGGCUCAACCUUGGAAUUGCCUUUGAUACUGGCUAUCUUGAGUGUGGGAGAGGUAUGUGGAACUCCGAGUGUAGAGGUGAAAUUCGUAGAUAUUCGGAAGAACACCAGUGGCGAAGGCGACAUACUGGCCCAUUACUGACGCUGAGGCUCGAAAGCGUGGGGAGCAAACAGGAUUAGAUACCCUGGUAGUCCACGCUGUAAACGAUGAGUGCUAGUUGUCGGCAGCAUGCUCGUCGGUGACGCGNGCUACGACAUAAGUACACUCCGCCGUCGGGAGGUACGGUCGCGAAGAAGUUAAACGUUAACGUAAAGUUAAAGUUAGUACGGCGUUGAGACGNGCCGACGGACGACGACGAGGGAGGAGG
rnacentral:rRNA from 1 species